AGGGUGUAAACGCUGCAGACUUGGUGUUGGGGGCCCUUUGGGGGGCGAUUCAGUGCCGGAGAGAAGUUGUUAAGUCUGCUACUUGGGGAGUACGUCCGCAAGGAUGAAACUUAAAGGAAUUGGCGGGGGAGGCACCGCAACGGGAGGAGCGUGCGGUUUAAUUGGAUUCAACACCGUAAACUCACCAGGGAAGACUGUUACAUGAAGGCCGAGAUGAAGACUCUGCUAGAUUUUCAGAGAGGAGGUGCAUGGCGUCAGUGACU
rnacentral:rRNA from 1 species